UACACUGAGUAUUAUAACGUAACAUUUAC
rnacentral:sRNA from 1 species